rnacentral:rRNA from 1 species
GUCUACGGCCAUACCACCCUGAACGCGCCCGAUCUCGUCUGAUCUCGGAAGCUAAGCAGGGUCGGGCCUGGUUAGUACUUGGAUGGGAGGAAUGUUCACAUUGUUUGCA